GGCCGGUUAGCUCAGUUGGUUAGAGCUUGGUGCUGAUAACGCCAAGGUCGUGGGUUCGAUCCCCGUACGGGCCA